GUAUAAGAGACAGCAGUAGCCGCGGGAAUACAGAGGGUGCGAGCGUUAAUCGGAUUUACUGGGCGUAAAGCGUGCGUAGGCGGCUUUUUAAGUCGGAUGUGAAAUCCCUGAGCUUAACUUAGGAAUUGCAUUCGAUACUGGGAAGCUAGAGUAUGGGAGAGGAUGGUAGAAUUCCAGGUGUAGCGGUGAAAUGCGUAGAGAUCUGGAGGAAUACCGAUGGCGAAGGCAGCCAUCUGGCCUAAUACUGACGCUGAGGUACGAAAGCAUGGGGAGCAAACAGGAUUAGAUACCCCAGUAGUCCCUGUCUCUUAUAC
rnacentral:rRNA from 1 species